GGUUAAGCGACUAAGCGUACACGGUGGAUGCCCUGGCAGUCAGAGGCGAUGAAGGGCGUGCUAAUCUGCGAUAAGCGCCGGUAAGGUGAUAUGAACCGUUAUAACCGGCGAUACCCGAAUGGGGAAACCCAGUGUGAUUCGUCACACUAUCAUUAACUGAAUCCAUAGGUUAAUGAGGCGAACCGGGGGAACUGAAACAUCUAAGUACCCCGAGGAAAAGAAAUCAACCGAGAUUCCCCCAGUAGCGGCGAGCGAACGGGGAGGAGCCCAGAGCCUGAAUCAGCAUGUGUGUUAGUGGAAGCGUCUGGAAAGGCGCGCGAUACAGGGUGACAGCCCCGUACACAAAAGCGCAUGUGUUGUGAGCUCGAUGAGUAGGGCGGGACACGUGGUAUCCUGUCUGAAUAUGGGGGGACCAUCCUCCAAGGCUAAAUACUCCUGACUGACCGAUAGUGAACCAGUACCGUGAGGGAAAGGCGAAAAGAACCCCGGCGAGGGGAGUGAAAAAGAACCUGAAACCGUGUACGUACAAGCAGUGGGAGCACCCUUUGGGGUGUGACUGCGUACCUUUUGUAUAAUGGGUCAGCGACUUAUAUUCUGUAGCAAGGUUAACCGAAUAGGGGAGCCGGAGGGAAACCGAGUCUUAAUUGGGCGUUAAGUUGCAGGGUAUAGACCCGAAACCCGGUGAUCUAGCCAUGGGCAGGUUGAAGGUUGGGUAACACUAACUGGAGGACCGAACCGACUAAUGUUGAAAAAUUAGCGGAUGACCUGUGGCUGGGGGUGAAAGGCCAAUCAAACCGGGAGAUAGCUGGUUCUCCCCGAAAGCUAUUUAGGUAGCGCCUCGUGAAUUCAUCUCCGGGGGUAGAGCACUGUUUCGGCUAGGGGGCCAUCCCGGCUUACCAACCCGAUGCAAACUGCGAAUACCGGAGAAUGUUAUCACGGGAGACACACGGCGGGUGCUAACGUCCGUCGUGAAGAGGGAAACAACCCAGACCGCCAGCUAAGGUCCCAAAGUCAUGGUUAAGUGGGAAACGAUGUGGGAAGGCCCAGACAGCCAGGAUGUUGGCUUAGAAGCAGCCAUCAUUUAAAGAAAGCGUAAUAGCUCACUGGUCGAGUCGGCCUGCGCGGAAGAUGUAACGGGGCUAAACCAUGCACCGAAGCUGCGGCAGCGACGCUUAUGCGUUGUUGGGUAGGGGAGCGUUCUGUAAGCCUGUGAAGGUGUGUCGUGAGGCAUGCUGGAGGUAUCAGAAGUGCGAAUGCUGACAUAAGUAACGAUAAAGCGGGUGAAAAGCCCGCUCGCCGGAAGACCAAGGGUUCCUGUCCAACGUUAAUCGGGGCAGGGUGAGUCGACCCCUAAGGCGAGGCCGAAAGGCGUAGUCGAUGGGAAACGGGUUAAUAUUCCCGUACUUGGUGUUACUGCGAAGGGGGGACGGAGAAGGCUAUGUUGGCCGGGCGACGGUUGUCCCGGUUUAAGCGUGUAGGUGUGUGUUCCAGGUAAAUCCGGUUCACUUUAACACUGAGGCGUGAUGACGAGGCACUACGGUGCUGAAGCAACAAAUGCCCUGCUUCCAGGAAAAGCCUCUAAGCAUCAGGUAACAUCAAAUCGUACCCCAAACCGACACAGGUGGUCAGGUAGAGAAUACCAAGGCGCUUGAGAGAACUCGGGUGAAGGAACUAGGCAAAAUGGUGCCGUAACUUCGGGAGAAGGCACGCUGACACGUAGGUGAAGUGAUUUACUCA
rnacentral:rRNA from 1 species